AUAAUUCAGUUCACUUAAGAUGAGGACAAAACAGAUUUUGGCAUUUCCAGGAAGUCUAGGAUGGAAAAAUUUCUUGUGUGCCUGCACAGUCUUCAGCCACGUGGUGAAGCACCAAGCUCCAGCAAUUUAGAUUCCCAUAUGGCCAUUUGGUUGUUACUGCAUGAAGGAUAUUGGCUGUGGAAUGAAGUUAACUGGUUGAAUUCUUAUCUGAAAAAUUGGGAAAUAUUUCAAAUGCACAGUGCUCACACUUGGUGUGUGCAUGAGUGAGUGCCCUCGGUGGACAAGUCUCCAGGUCCCCAGCCCAGAUGAAAAGGUCUGGUGGGGUUUGCAGUUGGAGAGGAGACUCACGAGCCCCUGCUUCCCCAGUUCCAUACCACUGAGCGCACUGUGGCCUCAGCCACUCACCCUGAGAAGCACAAGUGGAUAUGAGGAAAAGUGGGAGAAGUUU